UACGUAGGGUGCAAGCGUUGUCCGGAAUUAUUGGGCGUAAAGAGCUCGUAGGCGGUUUGUUGCGUCGGCUGUGAAAUCCCGAGGCUCAACCUCGGGUCUGCAGUCGAUACGAGCAAAACUAGAGUGUUGCAGGGGAGACUGGAAUUCCUGGUGUAGCGGUGAAAUGCGCAGAUAUCAGGAGGAACACCGGUGGCGAAGGCGGGUCUCUGGGCAACAACUGACGCUGGAGGAGCGAAAGCGUGGGGAGCGAACAGG
rnacentral:rRNA from 1 species